AGUUAAUAAAAUUACUCUCGUUCCUAGUGUGCUAAAAAUUAUUUUGUACUGAAUGUUAGCGAGUGGUUAAUGAAAGGCUGGGGGCAGGAAGAUUGUGGUUUGGGUUUUUGUUAACAUUUUUGAAGUGAAGAAUGCUCCUCAACCCAUCCUUCCUUCCUUUGUUUCUGCCUUUCUUUCUUUCCUCCUUCCUUCCAUCCUUUCUUCUUUCUUUCUUUUAUCUUUCUUUCUUUGUUUUUCUUCCUUCCCUCCUUCCCUCCUUCUCUCCUUCCCUCCUUCCUUCUUUCCUUUCUCUCUUCCUCUCUUUCUCUAUUUAUUUAUUUUAAUUUAGUUAGCUUAAUGCUUCCUCAUAUGUUACUGAGGGGACAGAGAGGAGAUGAGAAAUAAUGCCAGCAGGGAAUGAGCAGAAAUUAUAGAUGAGAAACUACCUAACAGAUAGGUUCUUUCUCUAGCCUAUACUCUAGUUUGGAAACUAAGUGAUUGCAUGUUCUUUUCACCCCAAGGAAGAAAAUCGCACUUGUUCUUGAUACCUAAUAAUGAUACUAUGUGAUAUGCACAGUCUGAAAUCAAGCAGAGAAAAAAGAUAGGUUUCUUUCAUCCCAACAGGACUGAUGGGGUUUAUGUGCAUUUCCGAAGCAUCUUUUAGAAUGGAUUCAAAUCCUGGAAUGGUUUUGGAAAGAAGAAUCUAUAGAGUAAGAUGUUUCCACACUCUCAGCCAGUGCUGUUGUUGAGAUCUAACUGGUGCUGUUCUUGUUCAAGGCAAGAAGAAAGAAGGAAAGAAGGAGAGGAAGAAGUGCGCUUGAGCUCUGCCAACAGUGUCAGAGUGAGAUUUGUCUCUGCUGGAGACCAGUGGAAUCUCCUGUGGCUGGAAAAGAACUUCUGGGACUACUCCUCUGGCCAGAGGUGAACAAAACAAGCUGGAGUUUUCUGUCAAGUGAAAUGUCAUAAUUACCACUGCUACCACUCUUUGGCAAAUUGGCAACUAAGCCAGUUGGCAAUUUACAGAUCAGUGCUUUUACCUAAUCACAGAAUAACAGAAUGGCUGGGUUGGAAGGGACCUCAAGGAUCACGAAUCUCCAACCCCUUGCCACACACAGGGCCACCAACCUCCACAUUUAAUACCAGCCCAGGUGCCCAGGGCUCCAUCCAACUUGGCCUCUCUCUGUAAAGAACUUCCCCCUGACAUCCAACAUAAAUCUCCCCUCCCUCAAUUUAAAACCAUUUCCCCUUGUCCUGCAGUUAUCAACCCUUUCAAAGAGUUGCCUUUACACAUUUAUAUCUAUUUUAAAAUAAAGAGUUCAUUGUUUAUACA
rnacentral:lncRNA from 1 species